CGGCCUGAGGUCGGACGAGGCUACCCGCUGAAUUUAAGCAUAUUACUAAGCGGAGGAAAAGAAACUAACGAGGAUUCCCUCAGUAACGGCGAGUGAAGCGGGACGAGCCCAGCGCCGAAUCCGGCCGCUUAUGGAGCGGACGGAAUUGUGGCGUAUGGAAUUCGCUUCGAGCGCGGGACGGCUGCCCACGUCCUUCUGAUCG
rnacentral:ncRNA from 1 species